rnacentral:rRNA from 1 species
AUUGAACGCUGGCGGCAGGCCUAACACAUGCAAGUCGAACGGAUGGCGGACGGGUGAGUAAUGUCUGGGAAACUGCCAGCUGGAGAGGGAUAACUACUGGAAACGGUAGCUAAUCCCGCAUACCAUCGGAUGUGCCCAGAUGGGGUUAGCUUGUAGGUUAGGUAACGGCUCACCUAGGCGACGAUCCCUAGCUGGUCUGAGAGGAUGACCAGCCACACUGGAACUGGGCCACGGUCCAGACUCCUACGUGAGGCAGCAGUGGGGAAUAUUGCACAAUGGGCGCAACCCUGAUGCAGCCAUGCCGCGUGUAUGAAGAAGGCCUUCGGGUUGUAAAGUACUUUCAGCAGGGAGGCGUUACCCGCAGAAGAAGCACCGGCUAACUCCGUGCCAGCAGCCGCGGUAAUAC